AGCACAGCGCCUCAUACCACUUGUGCACUACAAGUACAAGUACAAGAUGAUGCUGAAGCUGAAACCAUGGAUCCUAAACUGCUCCAUGGGGAGGCGCCUUGCCGCCUUGUGGGCAUCGAUGAACAAAGGAAUGUUCUUGUUAACCACCUGAUGGACGAAGAAGAGCGGCGUAAGGUGGUGGGCAUCGAUGAACCAAGGAAUGUUCUUGUUAACCACCUGACGGACCAAGAACUAGAAGAGCGGCGUAAGGUGGUGUGCAUCCUGGGAACCGGAGGAAUUGGCAAGUCAACUCUUGCCACGGGAAUAUACCGACAGCUCCAAGGGCGGUUCAGCUGCGGGGCUUUCGUGCAUCUUGGC
rnacentral:lncRNA from 1 species